rnacentral:rRNA from 1 species
GAUGAACGCUGGCGGCGUGCCUAAUACAUGCAAGUAGAACGCUGAAGGAGGAGCUUGCUCUUCUGGAUGAGUUGCGAACGGGUGAGUAACGCGUAGGUAACCUGCCUGGUAGCGGGGGAUAACUAUUGGAAACGAUAGCUAAUACCGCAUGACAACAGUUAUUGCAUGAUAACUGUUUAAAAGGGGCAACUGCUCCACUACCAGAUGGACCUGCGUUGUAUUAGCUAGUUGGUGAGGUAACGGCUCACCAAGGCGACGAUACAUAGCCGACCUGAGAGGGGGAUCGGCCACACUGGGACUGAGACACGGCCCAGACUCCUACGGGAGGCAGCAGUAGGGAAUCUUCGGCAAUGGACGGAAGUCUGACCGAGCAACGCCGCGUGAGUGAAGAAGGUUUUCGGAUCGUAAAGCUCUGUUGUAAGAGAAGAACGAGUGUGAGAGUGGAAAGUUCACACUGUGACGGUAUCUUACCAGAAAGAGACGGCUAACUACGUG